AUUGAACGCUGGCGGCAGGCCUAACACAUGCAAGUCGAACGAGUGGCGGACGGGUGAGUAAUGUCUGGGAAACUGCCUGAUGGAGGGGGGUAACUACUGGAAACGGUGGCAACACCCGCAUACCAUCAGAUGUGCCGAGGUGGGAUUAGCUAGUGGGGGGGGUAACGGCGCACAAAGGCGACGAUCCCUAGCGGGUCCGAGAGGAUGACCAGCCACACUGGAACUGAGACACGGUCCAGACUCCUACGGGAGGCAGCAGUGGGGAAUAUUGCACAAUGGGCGCAAGCCUGAUGCAGCCAUGCCGCGUGUAUGAAGAAGGCCUUCGGGUUGUAAAGUACUUUCAUCGGGGAGGCGUUACCCGCAGAAGAAGCACCGGCUAACUCCGUGCCAGCAGCCGCGGUAAUUC
rnacentral:rRNA from 1 species